rnacentral:rRNA from 1 species
GACAGAGGGUGCAAACGUUGUUCGGAAUUACUGGGCGUAAAGCGCGUGUAGGCGGCCCAGCAAGUCGGAUGUGAAAGCCCUGGGCUUAACCUAGGAAGUGCAUUCGAAACUGCUGGGCUUGAGUUCUGGAGAGGAAGGCGGAAUUCUCGGUGUAGAGGUGAAAUUCGUAGAUAUCGAGAGGAACACCGGUGGCGAAGGCGGCCUCUGGACAGUGACUGACGCUGAGACGCGAAAGCGUGGGGAGCAAACAGG